rnacentral:rRNA from 1 species
AGUCGAGCGAUGAACACCUUCGGGUGUGAAUUAGCGGCGAACGGGUGAGGAACACGUGAAGAAUCUGCCUUCAACUCUGGGAUAACUCCGGGAAACCGGGGCUAAUACCGGAUAUGAGCCUCGAUCGCAUGAUUGGGGCUGGAAAGUUUUUCGGUUGAAGAUGACUUCGCGGCCUAUCAGCUUGUUGGUGAGGUAAUGGCUCACCAAGGCGACGACGGGUAGCCGGCCUGAGAGGGCGACCGGCCACACUGGGACUGAGACACGGCCCAGACUCCUACGGGAGGCAGCAGUGGGGAAUAUUGGGCAAUGGAGGAAACUCUGACCCAGCGACGCCGCGUGAGGGAUGAAGGCCUUCGGGUUGUAAACCUCUUUCAGUAGGGAAGAAGCGAAAGUGACGGUACCUACAGAAGAAGCACCGGCUAACUAUGUGCCAGCAGCCGCGGUAAUACAUAGGGUGCAAGCGUUGUCCGGAAUUAUUGGGCGUAAAGAGCUCGUAGGUGGUUCGAUACGUCGGAUGUGAAAAUCAGGGGCUCAACCCCUGACCUGCAUCCGAUACGGUCGAGCUAGAGUUUGGUAGGGGAGACUGGAAUUCCUGGUGUAGCGGUGGAAUGCGCAGAUAUCAGGAGGAACACCGAUGGCGAAGGCAGGUCUCUGGGCCAAUACUGACACUGAGGAGCGAAAGCGUGGGGAGCGAACAGGAUUAGAUACCCUGGUAGUCCACGCCGUAAACGGUGGGCGCUAGUUGUGCGAACCUUCCACGGUUUGUGCGACGCAGCUAACGCAUUAAGCGCCCCGCCUGGAGAGUACGAUCG